rnacentral:snRNA from 1 species
GGAUGGGAGGGUGAUAUGGCUGCAACAUCGGUCGCCCAUUAAUCACCAGUGUUGAUUCAGCUGAUCUGGCUGGCUAGGUUGGUGUCCCCUUCCUCCUUCACCACACCAUGUGCGUCCCUCCUGAAGAUGCACUCUGUCGAUGAGGAUGACCAUCCCCAACAGAGGACCAUCCCCAACAGAGGACCACACUUCAGUCAAGGGUAUACAAGUAGCUGCACUCCCCUGCUUGAACCUCCAAAUAAGCUCUCAAGAAAGAACAUCAGGAAUCACAAAAGAGAAAUAGGACAGAUGAAAGCACAGAGAAACAGAAAGGCAAAAGAGAAAUGUAGGAAACACUUU